CAUUCGCAAUAACGAUUGCAGCGGCAUCCUUUUCUUUUUUUCGAAAAAAAGAAAAGAUACAGCGUAAAGCGUGGUGCUUU
rfam:Gelidibacter algens strain ACAM 536 contig00042, whole genome shotgun sequence.